rnacentral:rRNA from 1 species
UACGGGGGGAGCAAGCGUUGUUCGGAUUUACUGGGUUUAAAGGGUGCGUAGGCGGACAGGUAAGUCAGUGGUGAAAUCUCCGGGCUUAACUCGGAAACUGCCGUUGAUACUAUCUGUCUUGAAUAUCAUGGAGGUAAGCAGAAUAUGUCAUGUAGCGGUGAAAUGCGUAGAUAUCAAGAGGAACACCUGAGGUGAAGACGGGUUGCUGGGCCGACACUGACGCUGAGUGCGCGAAAGCCAGGGGAGCAAACGGG